rnacentral:rRNA from 2 species
CUGGCGGCAGGCCNAACACAUGCAAGUCGAGCGGAUGAGUGGAGCUUGCUCCAUGAUUCAAGCGGCGGACGGGUGAGUAAUGCCUAGGAAUCUGCCUGGUAGUGGGGGACAACGUUUCGAAAGGAACGCUAAUACCGCAUACGUCCUACGGGAGAAAGCAGGGGACCUUCGGGCCUUGCGCUAUCAGAUGAGCCUAGGUCGGAUUAGCUAGUAGGUGAGGUAAUGGCUCACCUAGGCGACGAUCCGUAACUGGUCUGAGAGGGUGAUCAGUCACACUGGAACUGAGACACGGUCCAGACUCCUACGGGAGGCAGCAGUGGGGAAUAUUGGACAAUGGGCGAAAGCCUGAUCCAGCCAUGCCGCGUGUGUGAAGAAGGUCUUCGGAUUGUAAAGCACUUUAAGUUGGGAGGAAGGGCAGUAAGUUAAUACCUUGCUGUUUUGACGUUACCAACAGAAUAAGCACCGGCUAACUUCGUGCCAGCAGCCGCGGU